CUUGUUCACUUGCCUGCUCUGAAUGCCCAAUAUGCCGAACCAAAAUCUCUGAUCGCCUGUUCGCGUUCCCGUCUUGACCCACGACAAUAUAAGGUAUCAAGAAGUAUAUGGAAGUCUGUUUGUUUGCUAAAUUUUCCAGAACGGCAGGCUCGGAUUCUUUUAUUAUAUGUUAGCUUUUUUUUAUCUUGUAUGUAAUGUGUUUGUUAUAUCUUUCAAGUUUCAAUUCAAAAAGGUGGUGGUAAAGAAAGAGGAAACACAAGAUGCUAACAGGGAAAAAAAAAAAAUAUCAGAAUGUGUUUAAGGAAGGGUAAAGUAUAUAGACUGACUUCUAUGUUUUUUACUUCAUCUUAUAGCAUAUAAAAAGAUUGAGUUAAUCUGUU